GGGUUGUGAGGUUAAGCGACUAAGCGUACACGGUGGAUGCCCUGGCAGUCAGAGGCGAUGAAGGACGUGCUAAUCUGCGAUAAGCGUCGGUAAGGUGAUAUGAACCGUUAUAACCGGCGAUUUCCGAAUGGGGAAACCCAGUGUGUUUCGACACACUAUCAUUAACUGAAUCCAUAGGUUAAUGAGGCGAACCGGGGGAACUGAAACAUCUAAGUACCCCGAGGAAAAGAAAUCAACCGAGAUUCCCCCAGUAGCGGCGAGCGAACGGGGAGCAGCCCAGAGCCUGAAUCAGUGUGUGUGUUAGUGGAAGCGUCUGGAAAGGCGCGCGAUACAGGGUGACAGCCCCGUACACAAAAAUGCACAUGCUGUGAGCUCGAUGAGUAGGGCGGGACACGUGGUAUCCUGUCUGAAUAUGGGGGGACCAUCCUCCAAGGCUAAAUACUCCUGACUGACCGAUAGUGAACCAGUACCGUGAGGGAAAGGCGAAAAGAACCCCGGCGAGGGGAGUGAAAAAGAACCUGAAACCGUGUACGUACAAGCAGUGGGAGCACGCUUAGGCGUGUGACUGCGUACCUUUUGUAUAAUGGGUCAGCGACUUAUAUUCUGUAGCAAGGUUAACCGAAUAGGGGAGCCGAAGGGAAACCGAGUCUUAACUGGGCGUUAAGUUGCAGGGUAUAGACCCGAAACCCGGUGAUCUAGCCAUGGGCAGGUUGAAGGUUGGGUAACACUAACUGGAGGACCGAACCGACUAAUGUUGAAAAAUUAGCGGAUGACUUGUGGCUGGGGGUGAAAGGCCAAUCAAACCGGGAGAUAGCUGGUUCUCCCCGAAAGCUAUUUAGGUAGCGCCUCGUGAAUUCAUCUCCGGGGGUAGAGCACUGUUUCGGCAAGGGGGUCAUCCCGACUUACCAACCCGAUGCAAACUGCGAAUACCGGAGAAUGUUAUCACGGGAGACACACGGCGGGUGCUAACGUCCGUCGUGAAGAGGGAAACAACCCAGACCGCCAGCUAAGGUCCCAAAGUCAUGGUUAAGUGGGAAACGAUGUGGGAAGGCCCAGACAGCCAGGAUGUUGGCUUAGAAGCAGCCAUCAUUUAAAGAAAGCGUAAUAGCUCACUGGUCGAGUCGGCCUGCGCGGAAGAUGUAACGGGGCUAAACCAUGCACCGAAGCUGCGGCAGCGACGCUGAUGCGUUGUUGGGUAGGGGAGCGUUCUGUAAGCCUGCGAAGGUGUGCUGUGAGGCAUGCUGGAGGUAUCAGAAGUGCGAAUGCUGACAUAAGUAACGAUAAAGCGGGUGAAAAGCCCGCUCGCCGGAAGACCAAGGGUUCCUGUCCAACGUUAAUCGGGGCAGGGUGAGUCGACCCCUAAGGCGAGGCCGAAAGGCGUAGUCGAUGGGAAACAGGUUAAUAUUCCUGUACUUGGUGUUACUGCGAAGGGGGGACGGAGAAGGCUAUGUUGGCCGGGCGACGGUUGUCCCGGUUUAAGCGUGUAGGCUGGUUUUCCAGGCAAAUCCGGAAAAUCAAGGCUGAGGCGUGAUGACGAGGCACUACGGUGCUGAAGCAACAAAUGCCCUGCUUCCAGGAAAAGCCUCUAAGCAUCAGGUAACAUCAAAUCGUACCCCAAACCGACACAGGUGGUCAGGUAGAGAAUACCAAGGCGCUUGAGAGAACUCGGGUGAAGGAACUAGGCAAAAUGGUGCCGUAACUUCGGGAGAAGGCACGCUGAUAUGUAGGUGAAGUCCCUCGCGGAUGGAGCUGAAAUCAGUCGAAGAUACCAGCUGGCUGCAACUGUUUAUUAAAAACACAGCACUGUGCAAACACGAAAGUGGACGUAUACGGUGUGACGCCUGCCCGGUGCCGGAAGGUUAAUUGAUGGGGUCAGCGCAAGCGAAGCUCUUGAUCGAAGCCCCGGUAAACGGCGGCCGUAACUAUAACGGUCCUAAGGUAGCGAAAUUCCUUGUCGGGUAAGUUCCGACCUGCACGAAUGGCGUAAUGAUGGCCAGGCUGUCUCCACCCGAGACUCAGUGAAAUUGAACUCGCUGUGAAGAUGCAGUGUACCCGCGGCAAGACGGAAAGACCCCGUGAACCUUUACUAUAGCUUGACACUGAACAUUGAGCCUUGAUGUGUAGGAUAGGUGGGAGGCUUUGAAGUGUGGACGCCAGUCUGCAUGGAGCCGACCUUGAAAUACCACCCUUUAAUGUUUGAUGUUCUAACGU
rnacentral:rRNA from 1 species